GGUUCCGUGGUGAAAGGGAUAUCACAGGAGACUUCUACUCUCCGAUUCCGGGUUCGAAUCCUGGCGGAAUCG
rnacentral:tRNA from 1 species